GCGUCAGUAGUGUAACGAAUAGAGCACGCAUUCCCGAAAAGAGUGAGGCGCGGGUUCAAGUCCCGGCUGACGCG